rnacentral:lncRNA from 1 species
CUCCCUCUCCCCACGGUCUCCCUCUCCCCACGGUCUCCCUCUCCCUCUCUUUCCACGGUCUCCCUCUGAUGCCGAGCCGAAGCUGGACUGUACUGCUGCCAUCUCGGCUCACUGCAACCUCCCUGCCUGAUUCUCCUGCCUCAGCCUGCGGAGUGCCUGCGAUUGCAGGCGCGCGCCGCCACGCCUGACUGGUUUUCUUAUUUUUUUGGUGAAGACGGGGUUUCACUGUGUUGGCUGGGCUGGUCUCCAGCUCCUAGCCGCGAGUGAUCCGCCAGCCUCGGCCUCCGGAGGUGCCGGGAUUGCAGACGAUGUCUGGUUCACUCAGUGCUCAGUGGUGCCCAGGCUGGAGUGCAGUGGUGUGAUCUCAGCUCGCUACAACCUCCACCUCCCAGCCACCUGCCUUGGCCUCCCAAAGUGCUGAGAUUGCAGCCUAUGCCCGGCCGCCACCCCGUCUGGGAAGUGAGGAGCGUCUCUGCCUGGCCGCCUAUCGUCUGGGACGUGAGGAGCCCCUCUGCCUGGCUGCCCAGUCUGGAAAGUGAGAAGCGUCUGCCCGGCCGCCAUCCCAUCUAGGAAGUGAGGAGCGUCUCUGCCCGGCCACCCAUUGUCUGAGAUGUGGGGAGCGCCUUUGCCCCACCGCCCCGUCUGGGAUGUGAGGAGCGCCUCUGCCUGGCCGCGACCCCGUCUGGGAGGUGAGGAGCGUCUCUGCCCAGCCGCCCCGUCUGAGAAGGGAGGAGACCCUCCGCCCGGCAACCGCCCCGUCUGAGAAGUGAGGAGCCCCUCCGCCCGGCAGCCGGCCCAUCUGAGAAGAAGUGAGGAGCGUCUCUGCCCGGCCACCCAUUGUCUGAGAUGUGGGGAGCGCCUUUGCCCCACCGCCCCGUCUGGGAUGUGAGGAGCGCCUCUGCCUGGCCGCGACCCCGUCUGGGAGGUGAGGAGCGUCUCUGCCCAGCCGCCCCGUCUGAGAAGGGAGGAGACCCUCCGCCCGGCAACCGCCCCGUCUGAGAAGUGAGGAGCCCCUCCGCCCGGCAGCCGGCCCAUCUGAGAAGUGAGGAGCGUCUCCGCCCGGCAGCCACCCCGUCCGGGAGGGAGGUGGGGGGGUCAGCCCCCCGCCCAGCCAGCCGCCCCGUCCGGGAGGGAGGUGGGGGGGUCAGCCCCCCGCCCGGCCAGCCGCCCCGUCCGGGAGGUGAGGGGCGCCUCUGCCCAGCCACCCCUACUGGGAAGUGAGAAGCCCCUCUGCCCAGCCAGCCGCUCCGUCCGGGAGGGAGGUUGGGGGGUCAGCACCCCGCCCGGCCAGCCACCCCGUCCAGGAGGGAGGUGGGGGUGUCAGCCCCCCGCCCGGCCAGCCGCCCUGUCGGGGAUGUGAGGGGCGCCUCUGCCCGGCCGCCCCUACUGGGAAGUGAGGAGCCCCUCUGCCCGGCCACCACCCCGUCUGGGAGGUGUACCCAACAGCUCAUUGAGAACGGGCCAUGAUGACAAUUGCGGUUUUGUGGAAUAGAAAGGGGGCAAAGGUGGGGAAAAGAUUGAGAAAUCGGAUGGUUGCCGUGUCUGUGUGGAAAGAAGUAGACAUGGGAGACUUUUCAUUUUGUUCUGUACUAAGAAAAAUUCUUCUGCCUUGGGAUCCUGUUGAUCUGUGACCUUACCCCCAACCCUGUGCUCUCUGAAACAUGUGCUGUGUCCACUCAGGGUUAAAUGGAUUAAGGGCGGUGCAAGAUGUGCUUUGUUAAACAGAUGCUUGAAGGCAGCAUGCUCGUUAAGAGUCAUCACCACUCCCUAAUCUCAAGUACCCAGGGACACAAACGCUGCGGAAGGCCGCAGGGUCCUCUGCCUAGGAAAACCAGAGACCUCUGUUCACUUGUUUAUCUGCUGACCUUCCCUCCACUAUUGUCCUAUGACCCUGCCAAAUCCCCCUCUGUGAGAAACACCCAAGAAUGAUCAAUAAAAAAUAAAUAAAUAAAUAAAUAAAUAAAAAGAAAAUGUGUUUCUAUGUAUACACCAAAAU